ensembl:snRNA U6 U6 spliceosomal RNA
ACGCUCGCUUUGGCAACACAUACACUAAAACUGGAAUGACAUAAAGAAGAUCAGCAUGGCCCCUGUGUAAGAAUAGCAUGCAAAUUUGUGAGGCAUUCCAUAGUAAA